CAGAGACCAAUGCUCUGCGAGUGCAGGACUCGCAGAGACCAAUGCCCUGCGAGUUCACGACUCACGGAGACCAAUGCCCUGCGAGUUGAAGACUGACUCACAGAGACCAAUGCUCUGCGAGUUCACGACACUCACGGAGACCAAUGCUCCGCGAGUGCAGGACUCGCUCGCAGGGACCAGUGCUCCGCGAAAAGUUCACUUGGCAAUCGCCCAGUGUAGCCGCCUGCAGGCGCCCAGGCUGGAGCAUCCAGUCCGGAGCGCGAUCUCGGGCAACUGAGGCCGCACCGGGCAACCGAGAACGCAGCACCGCCAGCGACGCCAUGGCCGCGUUCGCGGUUACCGGGCAACCGCGGAACCCUCGAUUGGACACACAAGCAGCAGAAGUCAUUUCCUGGUGUCAUGGUUUACCACCUCAUCAGCAGCCAGGAAUUAGUGCUCCAGAAGACUGACAUUAUCACAGGCUGUAUUUCUCUUUGGCAUUCUCUUUCAGAACACAGAUGUGCUAAAAAAACCCACA